rnacentral:rRNA from 1 species
GUUGAACGCUGGCGGCGUGCCUAACACAUGCAAGUCGAGCGGAUAAACGAGGAUUUCUCCUGUAUUCAGCUGCCGACGGGUGGGUGAUUACUAGGAAGAUACCUUGUAUUUAAGACUGACAUCCCUAAGCGGGAGCUAAUACCACAUACGUCCUUAUGGUGAAAGGGGUGGAUCUUCAGACCUAACGCUAUCUGAUUACCCUUGGUCGCAUUAGCUAGUUGGUUUGGUAACGGCUUACCAAGGCAACGAUGCGUAACUGACCUGAGAGGAUGAUCUGCCACACUGGAACUGAGACACGGUCCAGACUCCUACGGGAGGCAGCAGUAGGGAAUCUUCCACAAUGGGCGAAAGCCUGACGGAGCAACGCCGCGUGAGUGAUGAAGGUCUUCGGAUCGUAAAACUCUGUUAGUAGGGAAGAACAAAUGUGUAAGUAACUAUGCACGUCUUGACGGUACCUAAACAGAAAGCCACGGCUAACUACGUG